UCUGAGACACGAAUCCAGGCCCUACGGGGUGCAGCAGGCGCGAAAACUUUACAAUGCUGGCAACAGCGAUAAGGGAACCUCGAGUGCCAGGUUACAAAUCUGGCUGUCGAGAUGCCUAAAAAGCAUUUCAUAGCAAGGGCCGGGCAAGACCGGUGCCAGCCGCCGCGGUAACACCGGCGGCUCGAGUGGUAACCGUUAUUAUUGGGUCUAAAGGGUCUGUAGCCGGCCGGAUAAGUCUCUUGAGAAAUCUGGCAGCUUAACUGUCAGGCUUUCAGGAGAUACUGUCUGGCUCGAGGCCGGGAGAGGUGAGAGGUACUUCAGGGGUAGGGGUGAAAUCUUGUAAUCCUUGAAGGACCACCAGUGGCGAAGGCGUCUCACCAGAACGGACCUGACGGCAAGGGACGAAAGCUAGGGGCACGAACCGGAUUAGAUACCCGGGUAGUCCUAGCCGUAAACGAUACUCGCUAGGUGUCGGCCACGGUGCGACCGUUGUCGGUGCCGUAGGGAAGCCG
rnacentral:rRNA from 1 species